rnacentral:lncRNA from 1 species
CGGCGCUCGGGGUGAGCGCUCGGUGGCUGUGGUCCUGGGUCCCCGGGGCCACCCCUCCCGCGUGCUGGGUGGCCGACCCCUCGUCCCCCCGCGCCGCCGCGGCCGAGGAACCACGGGUAACCCCACAGGCCGGACCAACGCGUCACCCAACUGGCCAGACCGGCCCCUCUGCGACCCCA